ACCGGGAAGGCCAAGAGGCUCAACUUCCCACACCACCCCCACAAGGCCCUCCACCCCCACCCUGAGAGAAGAGUUGUUGCUCUUGUCUGCUGACAGCCAGCAGCCUUUCUACGCGCAAGAGUCCCUUGCUUUUUGCUUCAAAGAGCCGCAUGCCCCUUACCCUCUGGUUCCAAGGGUUUGCGUGGCCUGGUGUCAACCCAGCAUCCAGUGGUACCAUGUGUUCUGCUGUGAGAUCGAGUGUUUGAUUGCUUCAGGAAUGAACUCAGGUCUACGGUGCCACAACUUUGACCUGGAACAAGCCAGGAGAAGCCAUGACUGGAUCUCCGAAGGACAGGGAAGAAUUAUGUCUAUCAGAGCCCUCUACAAGAUCUUCCCAGCCCCAGCUGAUUCACCCUGUCGCUGGCUGAUUGGCCCUGCGGAGGUGCAUCGGUGUUGAGCCAGCUUCACCCCAGAGUUCUCACAGAGGAUGUCCAGGGCAGCUCGAAGCAGGAAUGGCAGUAAAUCAUGUCUAACCAUGAGAUGGAACUGGGUGCUGUAAGCUUGCUUCUCAGGGAACGGAGCACACCCUGAGGCCGCACCCAGACCUGCUCAGCAGUCCCAUGAACACAGGCCUGAGAAACUCCAGACACCCAGUUCAGACCUUCGCCUCCUUGGGUGGGGCAGCAUAGCUGGGCCUCUAGAGAUGUAAUCAGGUUGACAACCAGAAAGAGCCACCACAGCAUCAACCCUGGAUCUAAGGUCAGUCACCAUGUCGGGCCUCUGAGAUCAUCAGACCUACCUGGUAAAAGCGACUGGUUGAUUCAGGAGUGGGCAUGGGGAUAACGAAGCCUGAGGAGAAUCAAUUGGGGGUUUCAGAUCAGUCGUAAUAGACUUUCCCUGUCUGCCUAAUCUGAAUCAUAAGCAUGAUUGGCAGUCGUCUUGGUCCUUUGAUGGGGGAGCCUGCCGGAACACUGGGCAACCUGCACAUACUUCUGUGAGAAAAACGAGCAUCGCUCCUCCUCACUGGGACGAAGGCUCCCUUGCAUUUCCGGCACAUCAGCCAGUAAUUUCCCACUUUCUUCAACACGCUUUGCUGUAGGAUCUGUGAUUUGUGACCAGAUUUCUAGACAAAAUACUGAAGCCUAUGACUCCCCUGUGAUGAGGACAGGACGCUGGCCUUGCUGGACUGGAAUGUGGCUCUUCCCUGACUAUGAAACCUUCAGGCACGCCUGGAUCUUUGCGUAUCAGCUUCCUCAGCUUUACACUGAAUAUAAAAAUGCUUACUUCCCAAGGUUGCGUUGAUCCUAUGAGUGGCACAAAUGUGUUGUAUAAAGUUCCUUGUCCUCAGACUUCAGUAUUGCAGUGUGGAGCCCCCCAGUGCCUUGGAAAGAGUUGGGAAUAUCUAGAUCCCGAUUAUAUUGUCUAUGCUCAUGACUGCGCUUGGCCAGCCAGGGUUAGGAGGCAUCUGAGCUGCAUGAGUCCUGGCCAUUGCUCCUUGGAGGACCAUGCUACCUACCAUCAUGUUUCUAACCUUGAUUCCCUGGCUGAGCUCAAAGGGAGCAGAUGUAAAUAGACAUCUGUGCUGAGAGUAGUCAAAAUGCCAGUGUCCUGAAAACACACAGGGUCUAGCCUAAAGAGAAGACACGGGCCAAUCAGACUUUGGCUCCUGAGAAUGGGGAAAUGCCCUUGGAAAUGAGGACAGACGAUAGGGAGCUCCUGGUAUGGGGCUGGGACUGGUGAUUCUGUCAUGUAAGGUAUACAUCUAAAGACACAAGAAGCCUUGGGUGCUGAACAGGAGGCCUUGCAAUCAGAACCGUGGGAAGAGAGGAGUCCUGUCCUACAUUGCAAUUCCCUAGAGGAACCGGUUGUGCUUCGAGCCUAGGAUCUAGCAUCCCAAAUGAUUAUUAUGAUUUUAAAAUUAACAUGUGCAUGUAUUAGGUGAAUUUGAAUGACUUUUGCUUCUUAAGACCAGAAGAGACCUUCCUAAAACCUGAAUGGGUCUCAGCUGGCAGCAGAGACCUUCUGGUAGCUGGAUGAUUGGCCCGAGGUCAUGUGCAACACAGGGUUGUGGAAGCCUCUUGGGUUAUCUAGGUUGAACACAGGACAUUCAGGGUGGGGCAUCCACAUGAGGGAGCAGAGAGUUUUCCAAGCAGCAGUGGGAAGGAUGGGCUUAGAAAUGCACAUGAACUAUAUCCCUAAUUCCUGCAACCAACUCUUUUCAUUUUAUUGUUAGCAUUACGGAUUGUUUUUCAACAUGCAUGCACACACGCAUGCAUGCAUGCACAUGCAAUGGUGUUAGACAAGAGGGACCAAUGCUUCCUUCUCUCUCUGUGGCCUUAAGAUCUUACUUUGGGUGAUGUCUGCAAUGGCUCCCUAAUAGGCAAACGAGCAUCUGAGAACACUGGAAAACCUCAAGUCCACUGCCACAUGCGUGGUUCCAGGACCCUGUGGAGAAAAGUAUAUCUGGAGAGGAGGGACAAGAAACGCCAUUCCACAGAAGCCUAGCUGGCUGGCCACCCUAAGCGCAGAGUCAGCUCUGCCCACCCUGCUCAGGCCCCAGACAAAGCCAAUGAAACAUAUUCCUGGAACCCAGAGAGGCCUGUUCCUCUGGGCGCUGUCUACAACUAGUCAGUAAAUGUGCAGGAAUCUUGGAGGUGGCUUGUUGAACUGCUUAGAAUCGGCAUUAGUGAGAUACUUCAUUUUGACAUAUGCUACUGACCAGAGCUCCCCGGGAGCUGGUUGCUCAAUGCUGCCAGCACCCUGUUGCUUAGUUAGCUUGGGUGCUGACCAGCUAGGUGGCUCUUGAACUUGCCCUGGUCUACAGUCUAGAUGGUUGUAAUGUAAGGAGGGGGGGCAGUGCAUAGAAACAGAAAGAAGCUGCAAAGCCCUCGUUUGGAGCAGUGCAGAACUCCACAGCUGACCAGCUGGGAGAUAAAGAACACCCCUUUCCCAGCAACACAGCACGCAGCCCUAGGAAUCAACCACUGCCUUGUGUUUAUGUGAAUCAGUCUUAACAGGACCUAGAAUAAGGGAUUUAUCCCCCGCCCCAAGGGAGCUUCUUAGAACUUUGUGGGAGCUUCAAGGAACUUUGAGUAGAUCCUGCACAUCAGGACACUCAGCAGAGAGGGUUCCCUCUUCGCAGCAGGGAGUCAGUUGGGAACCCAGCCAGAUGGAAACUUCCAUAAGCUCCUCCCAUAAGGCCAGUGCAACUCUCAGUGACCAUUCAGGGCUUCUUUGGGAAUGGAAGACCCAUCCCUUCCUUUGGUGACUGCUGUGGGCAGGAGGCCAGAGAGGGGAAGAAAGAGAAGGAUGAUGUGAAGAAGCCAGCAUGGUCCAAUGUCCGUGGGAGCCAGGUUUUGUCAGAGCCUCCAGCACACGCUGCCACCAUAGGACGCAUCAGCGUUCCGGGGCCUCCUUAACACCAAACGACUUAGCUAUGAUGUGUGUAGGAUGGUGCCCUAAAUUCUGUGUUUUCAGCAGGCAUGAGAAGUGGGUGUAAGAUGAGUGGUCCCCAAAAGUAAUUACUAAGUCAUUAGGGAGUGGUCAUCAAAGCCAGACAUGAUUGAUGUGUUAGCACAUAUGUUUGAUUAAAUAUUGAAGUCUUCUGAUUUGUUUUACUAUAUUACUAGGAAGUUUCCUUGGAUCACUGAUGUACCAGUGAGAAGUUUCUUUAUAGUGAUUCAUACACACGAGUAAGAAUGGAAAAAUCCAUAUUUACCGGGAUGAUAAAUCAGAGGGUAACCAUGUGACGAAAGACCUCCCCUGAGUUUCCUCUGUGCGAUGAAAUGGAUUUACUCACUGCAAGAAAUUGACGUUCCAGUAACCCAAUUGCCAUAAAGUGGCUGAAGCACACGGGGCUCCGGCAGGAUCUACUUGGACACAGCUCUUGGACUCGCAGCUUAGAUUAGAGUCCAGGCAGCUUUUGGUCAAAGUUGGAACCAUCACAAACACAGGCUGCUACUAAGAAAGUCCUGAUUUCUGCUGUUACCUGUCCCAAAUGGACUCACCUGAGUAACAGUAAAGCCCAGAUAUUCACAUCCUCCAUCUGCAAAAGGAGGGGCAGUGUGGUCAGCUGGCAAAUAAUUUGCGGUUUUAGGGAGCCCCUCAGGUUCUCAACACAGCUUUUGUUAACUCUUUAGCCUCUCUGAACCAUUAUUUUAAUGUCAAGAAGGUAGGAAGGGAAGUAGAUUCCUACAUGUAGAGACAUCAGGAGUAUUAGGAGAAACUCUGCACAUGUACCCACAGGCGCAUGAGCACGCAUGCGCACACAAACACAAACCUUGAAGCAUGUGACAUAAAAAGUUCAGAGACCACCAGUUAACUCUUGAAAAAGUUAAUCUUGAUGACCUUUCUCCUUUUGUCUCCAAAGCAGGAAUAAUUAUGACCUCGGAAGCAGAAUUGUCUCAAGAAUUAGAUGAAAUGUUUUAUCUAGAGAACCUGACAAGUUUCUGAAACUAUUGAUCACCACCAAUAAUAAAAUAAAAAUCGUAACUAGCUGAAUAAAAAUUUCCAAGUCUUCAUAAUAAAGGCAUGCAAGGAAGUUCUUUCCCGUGCAGGAGCUGAAAGCCGGCUUAUAUGGAGAAGGAAUGACAGGAUCUUGCUGUUCCCACCCGUACUCAUGUUUGAAUGAAUCGAGUCGUCAAUGGAUGAUUCACAUCAGACAUCUGCAUAACCUCCCAGCAUCUCUUUACAAGACACCUAUCCAUUCCAAGAGGAUAAAGCAGAGACUUUGUAGCAGAAUCUAGCAGACACCGACUUCUUAUUGUUUGAAUUGUGAUCUCUAGGCCGGCCUUUUACUCCUGGGCCCAAGAGACUCUUUUGCCUCAAUCCUCCAUACACCUCGGACUAUGUCUGUGAAGUGUACGCUAAG